AUUGAACGCUGGCGGCAGGCUUAACACAUGCAAGUCGAGCGAACGGCGAAAGGGCGAGUAAUAUCGGGGAAACAAUCAGAUGAAGGGGGAUAACUACUUGAAACGGUAGCUAAUAUCGCAUACCAUUCAAUGUGCCCAGAUGGGAAUAGCUAAUAGGUGGGGUAAUGGCGCACCUAGGCGAAGAUCCCUAGCUGGUUUGAGAGGACGACCAGCCACACGGGAACUGCGAUACGGUCCAGACUCCUACGGGAGGCAGCAGUGGGGAAUAUUGCACAAUGGGCGCAAGCCUGAUGCAGCCAUGCCGCGUGUGUGAAGAAGGCCUUCGGGUUGUAAAGCACUUUCAGCGGGGAGGCGUUACCCGCAGAAGAAGCACCGGCUAACUCCGUGCCAGCAGCCGCGGUAAUAC
rnacentral:rRNA from 1 species